UUUGUAAAGUAAUAUUUUAAUUAUGUUUAAAUGGUAUUUAUGGACAACCGUUAAUCCAAUUAAAAAAAGUCCGAACACUUCAUUUUUCAUCACUUGCCUUGUGUCGUGGGACAAAUAAGCUUGACCAAGAGGAAAUUUCGAAAAAAAAUUCAUUGUUAUUUGUAGUUGAAUUGGAUAAUUUUUCUUGAACAUUAUAGUUUGAUCUUUUCAUCGAUGCUCACUGUUCCUUUGUUUCAAAUUGUGUUAAAGAAAAAAAAAAUUAAGUAUAUAAUAACACUAUAUUUAAUUACAAUUGUAGUAUAAUUAGAUAACAUUGUAUGAAUUGCUUUUAAGGAAUAAAAAUUUAGUAUCAAACAUUAUAAUUUAAUUUUCCAGAUAGAAAAGCUUAAAAUUAAACUCCAAUUACUAAAUAAAAAGAGGUCUCAAAGGAUUAAAUACACAAUUAGUCUUGUAUAAUAAUUUAAUGAUUUAAUUUUGUUGUGAUUAUUUUUUAUUAUUAGCAUUAAAAAUUGUUUGACGCAAUAAUUUAAGAUUAAUAAUUUAUUUGAUUGAUUGAAAAUUCCAUGUGCAAUCAUGUUACUUAAAGAUAAUUAUAAAAAAUUAAGUUAAUAAUGCAGUUUAAAAAAUUAUUUAAUUCAUUUUGAGCGUAAUUUUUAGAUUUUAUAAAUAAAAUUAAUUGGAUGAUAUAUAUAUUUUAGAUUAUAUUAAAAAAUAAGUAUAUAUUAAUCUUUUAAUUACACUUGUGUAAUUAAAAAUUUUUAAUAAACUUGAUUAAAAUAAAGAUAAUUGAUAAAUUUAUUAUAUUAAUUUAUAAAUUAAAAAAAGGGGCGAAAUUAAUAAUUUGUUUAGAAAGGGUGCAGCGUAAUUACCAAUGAAUUCGAGUCUCAUAAUACGAGUUUCAUCCAAUUAUAUAUUAAUUUAUUAAUUAUUAGUUGAAUUAUAUAUUAAUUUGUUAAUUGUUUGUUAAUUAUUUAUUAAUAUCUUCUUAUCGAUGCAUAUUAAAUAUAAUUUUGAUUAUUUUAUCAAAAUAAAUUAUUUAAUUAUAAUUAAAAAUUUUCAAAACCCAUGGCGGGCGUGGGUUAGCUCAAAUCUUCAUAAUUAAGAAAGCAAAACUAGGGCCAACCUAAUCACAUUGGAAGAAGAAAAAACUAACGCCAAGAUGUAAACGUGGCCAAAAGUGGGUCAAAAAAAAAUUCAAAUUGCAAUCCAUACCUCAAAAAAGCUGAUGGGCAUAAUUUUCUUCUUGUUCUUGGCGGUCCACGUUGCCCUUUUUUCUCUUCAUUUGACCAAUGGAGUCUUCCAUGUGAUCAUCGAUAUCCAAAACCACAAGCCUCCUUUUGUCUCGUAUACAUAAUUUAUUUGAUUAUUGGGAUUCUUUAAACAAUGAGAAAUUUUCUUUAAAUAAAUAAGAAUUCAUUGGUAUACAAAUUGCUAAUUGAGUUUAAGCAUUUGUUGAUACUUAU
rnacentral:lncRNA from 1 species